GCUUUUUUUGAGAGUGUACAGGUCUACACUUGCUGGUCUGAGCAUGCGCAGUUCACAAGAGACCAGUGUCUAAAGAAAAGCGCCAGCUUUUGAAUGUGGGGACGCCAAAUAUAACACAACACCGGUUCAGGCGUUUCUAGUAUUACCGUCCAUAGGAUUGGCCCAGAGGAGGGAACGGGCGAGUGAUGGAUGGGUAAGAUGACAGUCAGGUGCCACAGAUGGGAGAUACCCUUGAAAGCUUUGAAGGAGGAGGAUGAGGAUGAGGACCAGAUGGAGGGCGAGGAUGUUGAAGCAGGGAACGCCAAGGCCGCCCCAACAACCUCAGCAUACAGGUGCCAGAGCCGGUCUUCUUCUGCUCUGUGGGUGCUGGCAGGAGGAGGUUGCCAACUCAUGGAGGUGGAGAAGAGCCUUCCUGACACUAAACUCCUUGGGACACCAUUCUCAAUGACCUUUGCCACAAGGCCAACAUUCUCCACCUCCAUGCCAAUCACAGCGGAUGGGUUAAUGAAAAGAAGAAGUCUUUGCCAAUACUUGCUCUGGAUAGCUUCUACUUUAACCCGGUAGCAGCGACAGACCAAAUUUGUGCCAAGUUAUAAACCCCAAAAAAUAGAUAAUGCAUAAACAGAUCACAAAUGCUUUGAUAUAUAUUAUGAAAUGGUUUGUGUGAGUGAUGAUUUUUUCUCGCUUAGAGGGACCAUUAAGAAACAUGAUCCCCGCUGCUACCGGGUUAAUGGACAAUUCCUAUACUUUGACAUAUGUAUUGCCAGGAACUUGUGGGCCACAGCACCUCCCUUCCUUUUGUAUUACUUAGCAGCAAUGGAAAAAAUCAGUCAGGCACUCUACACAGGCAUAUUAGGAGCAGGCUGUCCUCAGCGACUGACUGAGACAUAUUGUUACAUCAGGUGGACUCAAAACUACAUCUUUUCCAUUAUAAAUUGAAAGAUAUAUUUUUAGUCCAUACACACAGAAUAUAUGUAUUUAGGUAGAUUCUUCAUCAUCAAUACAAGCACCAAUCUUAACCCCUUCAAUCCGGUGACGCCGACGUCAUCACCAUUAGUCCUCUUUUAAACCUCUUAAUCUUCUUCCAUUUCCUCUUCAUUCUCUUCUAAAUUUCUGUAAGGGUGCAGCCACACUGCACGCAGUUUGCUGGGAGGGUAGAGGGUAGCGGGACGCCUAGCGGGUCAGAGGCAAGAACAAGCACGUUAUCUAAUAGGAGUGGCCAUAUAGAACGUGGGUAGCGGGUUCCCUCCAAGCUUACCCACUACCCGCGUCCUGUAUGGCCACUCCUAUUAGAUAAUGUGUUUGUUCUUGCCUCUGACCCAAUAGGCGUCCCGCUACCCUCUACCCUCCCAGCAAACCGCAUGCAGUGUGGUCGCACCCUAAGAGGAAGUGGAAGAGAAUUAAGAGGAAUUUAGAGGAGGAUUGAAAGGUUUACAAGAGGAUUAGUCCCCUUCCAUUUCCUCUUGACCCUUUCCAUGCUGUGACGCCAACGUCUGCGUCACAUAUAGAAAGGGUUAACGUCAACUGUAACAAAGUUUGUGAGCUGCUGUAAAAUUAACUUCAGGUAAUCGGUAUUUUCUAUAAUCAACAAAUUUAAGAAUACAGUAAUACCUCAGAUUACGAGC